UGAAUAUGUUUGCAGUACAGAAAACAGUCAUCUGCACUCUCUCGGCGCACCUCCCAGCACAGCAGGGAAAGCACUGGUGUUUGGAGGUACAAUUGGACGGAAAAAGGACCUUUAUUAUUGAGCUGAAAUUAACCACAUAUACUCAGUAAACGGUGCUGCUUAUUUUGCAGCUGGGAAGGAACUGGAACCUUGAAAUAUGUCCUCAGGAAACAUGGAGGUGGACUGAGAAUAGGAACGAGGACCUGUGGUAUCUUUUGUGUCGUAUGUAAUGAGGCUGGGUGAUUGCUCAAUGCUCUACAAUACGGUGCAAGACCCCACAGGACCCCCGAAAUUUGGCCUCUGAAAACACCAAGAGGUGGAGCGAGAGGGAAAGCGACCGCCGAAAUUGGGCGUCAGAAAACAGCAAGAGGUGGAAUGGUGUAGGAAAAAAAACCGCAGAAAUUCGGUCUCAGAAAACAGCAAGCUGUUAGUCUAACAUUCUAUUCCCUGAUCAGUGAAACAAUAAAAAUUAUCAUAUUGAGCUGAAACUAAGCACACAUAUUCAGCUCUUCAUUCUGCAGGUGUGGCGAGAGGGAGAACGACCUGCGAAACUGUGCGUCAGAAAACACGGUGGAAUGGUACAGCAAAAACAACCGCCAAAAUUUGGCCUCAGAAAGCACCAAGAGGUGGAAUCCUUGAGGAAAACCAACCGCUGAAAUUUGGCUUCAGAAAACACGAUAAGGUGGAGUGACAAGGACAACGACCGCCGACAUUGGGCAUUAGAAAACACCUUGAGCUUAUAGUCUCACCUUCCAUCUAGUGAAAUAAUCAAAAUGGACUGGAACCGGAAAAAGGACCUCCGUAAUUUGGCUUACAAAAGCGAACUGGAACAGAAAAAAAGACCUCCUAAAUUUGGCCUCAGAAAACACCGAGAGGUUACUCUUACCUUCCUUCCAUGCUCUCUGGAAAAGUAAAAGUGUUCCUAUUGCACUGAAACUAAGCACACAUAUUCAGCAAUAUUCUGCAGGUGGAAUGAGAGGAACGACCGCCGAGAUUGGGUGUCAGAAAACAGCAGGAGGUUACUGAGCUUCCUUUCCAUGCCAGUGAACUAACAAAAAAUGCUCCUAUUGAGCUGAAACUAAGCGCACAUAUUCAGCUCUUCAUUCUGCAGGUGGAGCGAGAAGGGAGAAUGACCGCCGACAUUGCGCGUCAGAAAACACCAUGAGGAUAGUCUUACCGUCUUUUCCAUGCUCUGUGCAAUAGCAAAAACGCUCCCAUUGAGCCGAAACUAAGCACACACAGUCAGCUCUUUGUUCCGCAGGUGGAAUGAGAGGAAGAACGACCGGCGAAAUUGAGCAUCAGAAAACACCAAGAGGUGGAAUGGUGCAGGAAAAACAACCGCCGAAAUUUGGCCUCAGAAAACACCAAGAGGUAGAAUGAGAGGAAGAACGACCGGCGAAAUUGAGCAUCAGAAAACACCAAGAGGUGGAAUGGUGCAGGAAAAACAACCGCCGAAAUUUGGCCUCAGAAAACACCAAGAGGU